UUGUAAAAAGUUUGGUAAUUUUUUUUAAGUUGGGGUAUUUUUUUAAAAAAUUGGGGUAGGUCACCCAGUGAGGGUAAGUACACUAACCUGUAAUGUUGUAUUAAACUUCAUGGAAAAUGAGAUGUAGCUUGAUAAAGUAGUACAUAUGUGCUUAAAUUGUUUCACCAUCCAUACCCUUCACAAAAGUAAAAAUGCUUUUGAUAAUCAUUUGAAUCCAAGGAAUAAUGCCCCCUUCCCCCACACACUUCCGAUUCCCUAUACAGAGCAAUUUGAAUUACAGUAUCACUUCUAGAAGUUAAUUCUCUAUAUCCUUGUGACUAGGGCCGUUCAUAUUAAAAUUUCAGUAUAAAAACACACCCUGAAGAGUUUUAUUGCUUGCAUACAUGAUGGCAUUAUAGAUGCCAUUGUUACAAAAGUGGCUGGUGGCAUUUUUCAUUAUUGAGCCCCACUUAAAACCUGGACAUAAGUCUGCACUACAUUUCAUCCUUAAGACACCAAAUGGUAGACUUGCAAUAAAGCAAAAUUUAAGUAAAUUUAAAAAAUUGGAAUGUUUUAUAAUGAAUAGCAGUUUUUAUCAAAGAAGAAUUUUUUUAAGUUUGUAGGAAGGGCACUUUAAAGGAAAGAUGACUUGGAAAGCACCAAAUUAGAGAAAAUAAAGAAGAAUAAGACCCAUAUGGAAUGUUAGUUUUAAUAGGAAAACAACCAAUUAUUUUUUUAGGUUCAAUUUGUCAUGACUGCUCAGGUGUCUCGGAAAGCAAAAGACAUUGAUUAUUCUUGUAACCAAUCACACUUUGAGGUCUUUUGGUUUAGUUGCAUGCUUACUAAAUGGCUGACUAAGAAUAUUCUUUUGCCUUCCUCCAAGUAAAAGCAUUAGUGAUUAAAAAAAAACAGGUAAGGCUGCUUCAUUGCUUCUCUUUGUGCUUGGCUAAAGAAGAUGGUGACUGGAUAGCCAAAAAUUCUCUUCUAAUACUAAUAUUUCUAAUAAUUUUUUUGAAAAAAUUAAAGAUGAUAUUAAGAGCAUAAUAAUAAAUACCCUCUUUACAUGAGUAUUCUUUUGAUAAUCUAAAUUAAAUAACAUUGAUUAUUAUUGAGCCAAAACUUGAGUGUGUCCACGUUACUUCCAUUCCAGGAGAACUUACUAGUAGGGAAAGUGUAGUCAUCGUCUUAUUUAAAAUAGUUUUCAAAAAUAAUCUAGCCCAUAAAUCUUCUAAUUGGCCCUUACAUUUCCAUCCUUCUAUCCACAUUUACAAAAGUCAUCUUCCCCUGAUAAUCAUUCUACAUUUUUAUUGCUUCUCUAGAUUAAGAAAGCCAAAGCAUCCUCUAUAGUGUGGUUUUAACCGUCUCAGUAACCACCCCUAAACACACAUGUUGUAUACAAACACACACCCGCACACAGCUAGAAAAGAGAAGCAAUGUAAAAUUUUUUAGUCUGUCCCUGACUUAAUAGGGCCUAAGAAGCUACCUUUAUCUCUUUUUGGUUCCGAGUAUUUGGUUUAAUGUUAAUGAUCAUGGCCAGUAUUCCUUUUAUGGAGGGAGGCACCCUAAUCAUGUCAGCCAUAAUUAGUUUAUCUGCUCCUCUGGGAUGGGGGAGAAAAGGAGAUUAUUUCAAAUAUUUCUUAACAAGGCCUAAAUAAAUGUGUGGCAAUCUCAAAUGCUGAGUGAAUCCAUUCUACGUUUAAGGUGUAAUCCCCAAAGGCUGAGGACAGUGGGGUCAUUCUUGUGGAUUUCUAGCAAACUGAUGCAUUAGAAAGGGGUAAUGUUUGGGGCAUGACAGGGUAAAUGG